GAUGAACGCUGGCGGCGUGCUUAACACAUGCAAGUCGAACGGUGAAGGCGGAGCUUGCUCUGCUGGAUCAGUGGCGGACGGGUGAGUAACACGUGAGCAAUCUGCCCCUGACUCUGGGAUAAGCGCUGGAAACGGCGUCUAAUACUGGAUACGAGCUGCGAAGGCAUCUUCAGCAGCUGGAAAGAAUUUCGGUCAGGGAUGAGCUCGCGGCCUAUCAGCUUGUUGGUGAGGUAAUGGCUCACCAAGGCGUCGACGGGUAGCCGGCCUGAGAGGGUGACCGGCCACACUGGGACUGAGACACGGCCCAGACUCCUACGGGAGGCAGCAGUGGGGAAUAUUGCACAAUGGGCGAAAGCCUGAUGCAGCAACGCCGCGUGAGGGACGACGGCCUUCGGGUUGUAAACCUCUUUUAGCAGGGAAGAAGCGAAAGUGACGGUACCUGCAGAAAAAGCGCCGGCUAACUACGUG
rnacentral:rRNA from 1 species